UACGGGGGUGCGAGCGUUGUCCGGAAUCACUGGGCGUAAAGCGCACGUAGGCGGAUUCCUAAGUCGGUGGUGAAUCCUGGAGCUCAACUCCAGAACUGCCUUGAUACUGACGGUCUUGAGUUCGGGAGAGGUGGAGUGGAACUGCGAGUGUAGAGGUGAAAUUCGUAGAGUAUUCGCAAGAACACCAGUGGCGAAGGCGGACUCACUGGCCCGAUACGUGACGCUGACGGUGCGAAAGCGUGG
rnacentral:rRNA from 1 species